rnacentral:rRNA from 1 species
AUACGUAGGGGGCAAGCGUUGUCCGGAAUCAUUGGGCGUAAAGCGCGUGUAGGCGGCUUGGUAAGUCCGCUCUGAAAGCCCGGGGCUCAACCCCGGGAGGCGGGUGGAUACUGCCAGGCUAGAGUCCGGAAGAGGCGAGUGGAAUUCCCGGUGUAGCGGUGAAAUGCGCAGAUAUCGGGAGAAACACCAAUGGCGAACGCAGCUCGCUGGGACGUGACUGACGCUGAGACGCGAAAGCGUGGGGAGCAAACAGGAUUAGAUACCCUGGUAGUCCACGCCGUAAACGAUGGGCACUAGGUGUGGGAGGUGUCGACUCCUCCCGUGCCGAAGCUAACGCAUUAAGUGCCCCGCCUGGGGAGUACGGCCGCAAGGCUGAA